AACGUAGGUUCCGAGCGUUAUCCGGAUUUACUGGGCGUAAAGCGCGUGUAGGCGGCUAUGUAAGUCGGGCGUGAAAUCCCACGGCUCAACCGUGGAAGUGCACCCGAAACUGCGUAGCUAGAGUCCUGGAGAGGAAGGUGGAAUGCUUGGUGUAGAGGUGAAAUUCGUAGAUAUCAAGCGGAACACCGGUGGCGAAGGCGGCCUUCUGGACAGUGACUGACGCUGAGACGCGAAAGCGUGGGGAGCAAACAGG
rnacentral:rRNA from 1 species